UCAAACAAUAUUGCGGCCGGAAGAUCUGUUCAUGUUGCAUGCAACAUCAAACAAUGCUGCGGCCGGAAUUUUCUCUCUAGUCGUACUGUCCGAUAGCGGCGUCCAGAUUGGACGUCCGGGCCCUAGCAGCUCCAAUAAUCAAACGACUAAUGUUAGUUUUGCUCUGGCUGUAGGAACUACUUACUCCGGGAUCCAUACGUGUCCAUACCUGUGGAUGCCAUCGUGGGGACUCUUAGGGUCUUGAUUGAUGUAAGGAACCACCCAGUAUUAAUCCACUGCAAAAGGGAUCAGCAAGACUAGGAAGGUGUUUGGUUGUGGUAAGAACCUAAAGCAUUUGUUAUGCUUUGUUUAUGUUUACCUGAUGUAUGGCCUUCAUCUCUUGUAUGAACUGCUGCAUUUUCUGCUUUGUUUACAAGAUGCAAUAAUGCUUUGCCUAAGAAAGCCAUGCAGUACCUUAUUAGUC